UAGGGCUUCAGGAAGGAAAAGGAGGAGAAAAAAGGAGUAAGAAGAGGAAGAAAAAAAAUAAUGUAAAUUGGAGGAGGAAGAAAAAAAAAUGGUGUAAAUUUUAUCUAAAUAGUGCACCUUCAUCCAAAAAGUGUAAAUCUGAUUUCAAAUACUGUAAUUUCUAUCUCAAAGAGUACAACAUUUAUUUAAAAUAGUGUAACUGGAUUUUUUAUGCAAUUUCAUCUUCUUUCUUCUUAUAUCGUUUUUGAUUUUUCCUGUAGGAAAAAAAAUAUUUUUUCUUUUUAUUUUUUUCUUUAUAAUUUUUUUGGUCACGAUCUCGCCCUUGUCCUCUAUCGCAGCCACCGCCUUCGCCGUAGUUUUCUCCCCCCCCUCGCUGGUGUGUUUCUUGCCCCCGAGAAGCACUUCUUUUUCGUCACCGGCGGCGGUGGUGAGCUGUGGAGGCGGUGAAGAAGGGUCGAAUAGAAAAAAAAGAGUCGCGGCACGGACUCAGCGGGGUCGGAAGCGAGGAGGGGG
rnacentral:lncRNA from 1 species